rnacentral:snRNA from 1 species
AUACUUACCUGGCAGGGGAGACACCAUGAUCACGUAGGUGGUUUUCCCAGGGUGAGGCUCCGCCAUUGCACUCGGGCUGUGCUGACCCCUGCGAUUUCCCCAAAUGCGGGAAACUCGACUGCAUAAUUUGUGGUAGUGGGGGACUGCGUUCGCGCUCUCCCCUG